CCAGACAGGUUUGUCCCACAGACAUAGGACUCCAUGAUGGGAUCAACAUAUUCAUGAUUUCUUCACGGAGGGGAUAACGUAGGACGCUGAGUGGGCGGAGCGUCUAGAUUGCGCACCAGUGAAGGCGAGUGCUCUCAGCCACACACCGAUACCGCAUCCAAAACUGAACAAAUGCAAUCGCUGAUACCGGAGCUGUGUUAGACAGAACACAACCAUCCAGCGGGCAAACUUAC